GCAAGUUUGGCCGAGUGGUUAAGGCGCCGUGUUCAGGUAUGAUUUAAACCAACUUGAACAAUUCGCGGUCAGGAAACUGGCGGGAGUUCGAAUCUCCCAGCUUGCA
rnacentral:tRNA from 1 species